rnacentral:lncRNA from 1 species
UUCCUAAGGAUCAGUUUGGCAUACAUGGAGUUUAAGAGAAUUUAUGAGGGGACAUAUUUGACAAGGAACCAGAAGCAGCCUUGAUAUUGUGCUUCACUAGUUGAUUGGAUGGGGGCAAGGAUUGUUGCUGCAAUAUUAUGGCCUUUGCAUGUGUUGGGAACAAAACUAGUCUAUAGUAAAAUUCACUCUGCUAUUGGAAUAUCAAAGG